GACGAACGCUGGCGGCGCGCUUAACACAUGCAAGUCGAACGGAAAGGCCUGCUUUCCCUUGUGGAUUGCGGGUACUCGAGUGGCGAACGGGUGAGUAACACGUGAGUGAUCUGCCCCCAACUUGGGUAUAAGACUGGGAAACUGGGUCUAAUUCCCGAUAGGACUGCAGGGUGGUGCCUGUGGUGGAAAACGAUUUUCUAGUGGUUGGGGAUGAGCUCGCGGCCUAUCAGCUUGUUGGUGGGGUAAUGGCCUACCAAGGCGGCGACGGGUAGCCGGCCUGGGAGGGUGGACGGCCACAUUGGGACUGAGAUACGGCCCAGACUCCUACGGGAGGCAGCAGUGGGGAAUAUUGCACAAUGGGCGGAAGCCUGAUGCAGCGACGCCGCGUGGGGGAUGACGGCCUUCGGGUUGUAAACUCCUUUCGACCGCGAGGAAGCCACCUGGUUGGAAGGGUGGUGACGGUAGUGGUAGAAGAAGCACCGGCUAACUACGUG
rnacentral:rRNA from 1 species